CUCUCUGGUACUCUCACAACAUAUCGACGGUGUAACAGUGAGACGUGAGAAAUAGAGCGAAUCAAUGAACGUUAGCACGUCUCACUUGGGGCUUCUAUAAAUAACGGAAUCUAACUACCAUUUCUAAACAUUCCGGCCCCCUUGAAACCACCGGAUUUCAAAACUAAAUUCUUUUUCAAGCAAAUUUGAAUAAUAAAUUUACAAUUCAAUUUCUUACGCGCUUAUUCUAACAUUAUACAAUAUUCAUUGCGGCAAUUUUCCGUCAAAAAAUUCUACAUCUUUUAAGGGUGAUGAACCCAUUUCACUUUUUUUUACAAGACAGUUCAUUUUUUUUUUACGGUAUAUAAUGCAAAAAUUCAUAUUUGAGUUAUAAUUUCAAACAUCAUGUAAGAAUGAUGAAUCCAUUUGCCCCCCUUGUAAGCAACGCCCAUGGAGAAAUUUUUCUCUCUUUCAAUAUUCUCAACCUCAACCUUCUGUGGUUUGUUUUGGUUCGGUUAUUCGACUCGUGGUGCACAUUUCAACGGCAGCGAAUUCCGACGAUUCUCGUUGAUAUCCGGAGAUGGAAGUUGCAGAUUCCCAAAAGUUUGCUCGGUUCGAAGCCAUGCGACUCGUAGGAGCCGAUGUGACCAAGCUGCAACUGCGACAGCUUGCUCGCUCCAAACUGCUGGAAUUAGUAUUUCUUCGUUGGAUUUGCGUUUCGAACUUGGAUUAUGGACUUGGUCGAACCAGACAGCAAAACCAACCAAGCAAUUCCUUCCGAAUGCUGAUGUUCUACAGUUGACCCAGCCAGUGCUCUACACUGCGUUCCUCACUGCAAACAACUGGAUUGGAAUAUUGCAGCGAACCAAUCCAACAAGAUGACAAAAUCGGAAACACACUCCCGAACCCAAUGUGCUAAUGCCUUCGGUUCAACUUUCUUGGAUUUCGUGCGCUGCGCUCAGGUGAUGAUGCAAGCUGUAUUUGCAGAGAGCAUCCGAAUAGCAAUUCUUCAAUCGACGCUCGUCAGAUGUUUGGUCAACAACACCGUCACACGGUGCUACGUUGAUCUGGAGAUCUUCGAAAUGGAACUUGGAUGAUAAGGCCAAGUUGUGUUGUUUCAUCAAUGGACCUCCGGAAACUGGUAGCUGAAUCGGACUCGGUGACUUUUCGCUCAUAACCGGAAAUAAUGGAAUAAUAUAUUUAUGAAAAAACGUUGCAAAAGGUCGAUUUAAAAACAUCACAGCCACCAUUCCAGUACUUCAAACUGUUUUUUUUUUCAUGCAAACUAUGACCACCUUCUUGAACGAGGAGUGAUUGAUGGAAUGAAUAUUUUUUCAUUUGUACACCAAUGUGCAGACUCGCAAUUGUCCAUUUCAAUUAUCCAUAUCAAACCAAUUUGACGAUACUUCUCUCGCCAAUAUUUUACUGAAAAUUAUCAGCUAUUUCGUACAUAUUCAACACAUUUUAUCUGACAGAAAUGGAACUUGUAAAGCCCUCAACGGCAAUUUCCGACAUGUUUCUGACUCAGACGACUUGUUUUGAGAAAUGCGAAUCAUUAGAUAUCACCAAAUUACACCUUCUGUGGUGUCUACGGAUCAUCUUGCCGACACAAUAGAAUGACGAGCUGAGCGUCAAAUCUGAAGCGAAGAACCAAUGCGACAUUACGGACCAAACUUGUAAACGAUGACUUCAGACGAAAUAUUUCAUUCAUAGGUUCACAUUUGAUUGACAUUUCAAACAAUUUUUAAACGGGUCUAGGAACUGGAACAAUCAAUCAAGCUGCCUCAGAACAAUUAUCUUCGUGUUUUAACCUCCGAUGAGGUGUAUUCAGACAAAAAUAAGCUGACCUUGUAUCCACUUCAAACCAAGGGUUUUCAUGGUUGUAAUUAACAAAUCGAACUCUAAAACUGACUCUUAAUUUUCCAAAUUUUCAAGAAUGUUUAUCAAUACUUCUUGUGCGUUUGAC